GCUGACGCUAGAAGGGGCGCCCUCGGAUUCACGACUGGGCGAGGUAGCGCCUGACGCCCCUCUGGGCUGCCGUGUCAAGAGCCUGGCUUUGGCCCUGGCGAGUGCGUUCCGGGGGUCCCCCACAGCAGUCGGCGACCGCUGGGGCAGAGGCGGACUUUUCCUCUGGCGACGCGAUCUGCCCGAGCCCGACCCUCCCUCCCAGGCGCGGUCCCCGGGCUCCUGCGCCCUCUCACCCGCGGCACCUCAGCCUGCGGAGCCCUUGGCUUGGUCUUGAUUCCCAUCCAUGCUCCGGUGAACUCUGAGUUUCCAGAUGAAGAGAAGAACGUUGGCCUCUUACACCCACCCCCCUGGUUCUACGUGUUAUGCGUUCAGUGUCCAUUGCUUUGGGCCAAGCCUGCCCUAGGCUAACGGACCAGACCAGAGCAGAAUUAUCCGUGCUAAAGUUCCAAGCCACCAACUUUCCAGAGCCCUCGUGUCUGUAAAACCAACUUUCUAUACCUGCUUCGUGAGACCAUUCGUUCUGUGUUCAUUCCAGUUGUACGAUCGCAAAACCAAGAUCGAACUUGGGAUGGCGAAACCGCUGAGCCAAAUCCCCGCCUCCAUCCUGUAGAUUUUUAAAAAAACAGCAAAACUAC